rnacentral:rRNA from 1 species
UACGGAGGGUGCAAGCGUUAUCCGGAUUCACUGGGUUUAAAGGGUUCGUAGGCGGGUAUAUAAGUCAGUGGUGAAAGCUCCGGGCUUAACUUGGAAACUGCCAUUGAUACUGUAUAUCUUGAAUGUCGUUGAGGUUAGCGGAAUGUUGCAUGUAGCGGUGAAAUGCUUAGAUAUGUUACAGAACACCAAUUGUGAAGACAGCUAACUAAGCGAUGAUUGACGCUGAGGCACGAAAGCGUGGGGAGCAAACAGG